GGGUGAGUAACGCGUAUCCAACCUGCCCACCACUUGGGGAUAACCUUGCGAAAGUAAGACUAAUACCCAAUGACGUCUCUAGAAGGCAUCUGAAAGAGAUUAAAGAUUUAUCGGUGAUGGAUGGGGAUGCGUCUGAUUAGCUUGUUGGCGGGGUAACGGCCCACCAAGGCAACGAUCAGUAGGGGUUCUGAGAGGAAGGUCCCCCACAUUGGAACUGAGACACGGUCCAAACUCCUACGGGAGGCAGCAGUGAGGAAUAUUGGUCAAUGGACGAGAGUCUGAACCAGCCAAGUAGCGUGCAGGAAGACGGCCCUAUGGGUUGUAAACUGCUUUUAUAAGGGAAUAAAGUGAGUCUCGUGAGACUUUUUGCAUGUACCUUAUGAAUAAGAACCGGCUAAUUCCGUGCCAGCAGCCGCGGUAAUACGGAAGGUCCGGGCGUUAUCCGGAUUUAUUGGGUUUAAAGGGAGCGUAGGCCGGAGAUUAAGCGUGUUGUGAAAUGUAGACGCUCAACGUCUGCACUGCAGCGCGAACUGGUUUCCUUGAGUACGCACAAAGUGGGCGGAAUUCGUGGUGUAGCGGUGAAAUGCUUAGAUAUCACGAAGAACUCCGAUUGCGAAGGCAGCUCACUGGAGCGCAACUGACGCUGAAGCUCGAAAGUGCGGGUAUCGAACAGGAUUAGAUACCCUGGUAGUCCGCACGGUAAACGAUGGAUGCCCGCUGUUGGUCUGAAUAGGUCAGCGGCCAAG
rnacentral:rRNA from 1 species